CCCAGCAGAGGCGUCUUUUGAACACAGCUUGCUGCUGGGGUUGAGACUGAGAUCCAGAAACUUGGUGCACAUGGACCUUUGGGUCUCUGCGUGAGGCAGGCGUGGUCUCCUGUAUCCUGGAAGGAUUCCAAAGCCAAAAACUUAAGACUCUCAGACUCUCUGUGCUCCUGGAUUCCUGGGCCACACAGCUUUGAACAAACUUACAGACACAGUGCAGAUAUGGUGGGGACCCAAGUCAGCCCACGACAGCCA
rnacentral:lncRNA from 1 species